rnacentral:rRNA from 1 species
GACAAACGCUGGCGGCGUGCAUAAAACAUGCAAGUCGAACGGGCCAAUCUCCGCAAGGAGAAAGGCUAGUGGCGAACGGCUGAGUAACACGUAGGUGACCUGCCCUGAAGUGGGGGAUAACAACUCGAAAGAGUUGCUAAUACCGCAUGUGACCACCGAUUCAUUUCGGUGCUCAAAGUCGCAAGACGCUUUAGGAGGGGCCUGCGGCGGAUUAGCUAGUUGGUGGGGUAACGGCCUACCAAGGCGUCGAUCCGUAGCUGGUCUGAGAGGAUGACCAGCCAGACUGGGACUGAGACACGGGCCCAGACUCCUACGGGAGGCAGCAGUGGGGAAUAUUGCACAAUGGGGGAACCCUGAUGCAGCGACGCCGCGUGGAGG